rnacentral:rRNA from 1 species
GAUGAACGCUGGCGGCGUGCCUAAUACAUGCAAGUCGAGCGAAUGGAUUAAGAGCUUGCUCUUAUGAAGUUAGCGGCGGACGGGUGAGUAACACGUGGGUAACCUGCCCAUAAGACUGGGAUAACUCCGGGAAACCGGGGCUAAUACCGGAUAACAUUUUGAACCGCAUGGUUCGAAAUUGAAAGGCGGCUUCGGCUGUCACUUAUGGAUGGACACGCGUCGCAUUAGCUAGUUGGUGAGGUAACGGCUCGCCAAGGCAACGAUGCGUAGCCGACCUGAGAGGGUGAUCGGCCACACUGGGACUGAGACACGGCCCAGACUCCUACGGGAGGCAGCAGUAGGGAAUCUUCCGCAAUGGACGAAAGUCUGACGGAGCAACGCCGCGUGAGUGAUGAAGGCUUUCGGGUCGUAAAACUCUGUUGUUAGGGAAGAACAAGUGCUAGUUGAAUGAGCUGGCACCUUGACGGUACCUAACCAGAAAGCCACGGCUAACUACGUGCCAGCCGCCGCGGUAA